AUACGGAGGGUGCAAGCGUUACUCGGAAUCACUGGGCGUAAAGCGCGCGCAGGCGGGCUGAUAAGUUGGAUGUGAAAGUCUACGGCUCAACCGUAGAACUGCAUCCAAAACUGUCAGUCUAGAGUCUGGGAGGGGAAGAUGGAAUUAGUUGUGUAGGGGUAAAAUCCGUAGAGAUAACUAGGAAUACAAAAAGCGAAGGCGAUCUGCUGGAGCAGUACUGACGCUGAGGCGCGAAAGCGUGGGGAGCAAACAGGAUUAGAAACCCUAGUAGUCC
rnacentral:rRNA from 1 species